rnacentral:sRNA from 1 species
AGAAUAUGGAAUGCUCAUCAACACUGC